UACGAAGGGGGCUAGCGUUGUUCGGAAUCACUGGGCGUAAAGCGCACGUAGGCGGACUUUCAAGUCAGGGGUGAAAUCCCGGGGCUCAACCUCGGAAUUGCCUUUGAUACUGUAGGUCUCGAGUCCGGAAGAGGUGGGUGGAAUUCCUAGUGUAGAGGUGAAAUUCGUAGAUAUUCGCAAGAACACCAGUGGCGAAGGCGGCUCACUGGCCCGAUACUGACGCUGAGGCACGAAAGCGUGGGGAGCAAACAGG
rnacentral:rRNA from 1 species